AAUAAUAAAUUAAAGUUUCAUUUUUUAAUAAUUUGUUGAGAAUCAUUUGCAGGCAAUGACUGCUUGAAGUCUGGAAUGCAUAGACAUCACCAAACGCUGGGUUUCCUCAUUUGUGAUGCUUUACCAGGCCUUUACUGCAGCUGUCUUCAGUUGUUGUUUGUUCAUGGGUCUUUCUGUCUUAAGUUUUGUCUUUAGCAAGUGCAAUUCAUGCUUGAUCGGAUUGAGAUCAGGUGAUUGACUCGGCCAUUUCAGAAUAUUACACUUGUUUGCCAACUGGGUUGCUUUUGCAGUAUGCUUUGGGUAAUUGUCCAUCUGUAAAGUGAAGCACCGUACAAUCAACUUUGCUGAAUUUGGCUGAAUCUGAGCAGACAAUAUAUCCC